CACAACUCUAAAUGUCAAAAUGUCACUAACAGUACUCAUAGCUUAUGAACUAGUGAAUUCUUCCAUCUUCUGACUGUCUUUAUCUCGAUUGUGUCUUACUUUUGGACGAACACGUUUCACUGCGCUUCCACAGGGGAUCCCCCACUACUUGAAGUUGGAACUAUUGCUUCAAGAGCACCAUAAAGGUGGAAGAUCACACAGCAGAGUCCACACAAUUUUGUAACUCACAGUUCUUUUCUG